UUUCCGGUUGAUCCCGCCAGACCCGACUGCUAUCAGAGUGAGACUAAGCCAUGCGAGUCAACGUAUGAAUAAUACGUGGCGAACGGCUCAGUAACACGUAGUCAACAUGCCCAAAGGACGUGGAUAACCUCGGGAAACUGAGGAUAAACCGCGAUAGGUCAUAAGUACUGGAAUGUUUUAUGGCUCAAAUCUACAUGGCCUCUGGAUUGGACUGCGGCCGAUCAGGCUGUUGGUGAGGUAAUGGCCCACCAAACCUGUUACCGGUACGGGCUCUGAGAGGAGGAGCCCGGAGAUGGGCACUGAGACAAGGGCCCAGGCCCUAUGGGGCGCAGCAGGCGCGAAACCUCUGCAAUAGGCGAAAGCUUGACAGGGUUACUCUGAGUGAUUCCCGCUAAGGGAAUCUUUUGGCAUCUCUAAAAACGAUGCAGAAUAAGGGGUGGGCAAGUCUGGUGUCAGCCGCCGCGGUAAUACCAGCACCCCGAGUGGUCGGGACGAUUAUUGGGCCUAAAGCAUCCGUAGCCGGUCUUGCAAGUCUUCCGUUAAAUCCACCUGCUUAACAGAUGGGCUGCGGAAGAUACUACAAGACUAGGAGGCGGGAGAGGCAAGCGGUACUCAGUGGGUAGGGGUAAAAUCCUCUGAUCCAUUGAAGACCACCAGUGGCGAAGGCGGCUUGCCAGAACGCGCUCGACGGUGAGGGAUGAAAGCUGGGGGAGCAAACCGGAUUAGAUACCCGGGUAGUCCCAGCUGUAAACGAUGCAGACUCGGUGAUGGGCCGGCUUCAUGCCGGCUCAGUGCCGCAGGGAAGCCGUUAAGUCUGCCGCCUGGGGAGUACGGUCGCUAGACUGAAACUUAAAGGAAUUGGCGGGGGAGCACCACAAGGGGUGAAGCUGCGGUUCAAUUGGAUUCAACGCCGGGA
rnacentral:rRNA from 1 species